UGCCACAGCCAUAUCACCCUGCAGCCCAAGACCGGUUACUCACUGAAGCUAAGCAGGGCUGAGCCUGGUUGGUACCUGGAUGGGAGACCACUAGGGAACACUAGGUUGCUGUUGGAA
rfam:Danio rerio chromosome 7, GRCz11 reference primary assembly.